rnacentral:lncRNA from 10 species
UGGAGGUCAAGGCUGCAGUGAGCCAAGACUGUGCCACUGCGCUCCAGCCUGGGUGACAAAAUAAGACUCUGUCUCCAAAAAAUAAAAAAGGAAAAAGAUAAAAAGAAAGGGAAGAAUGGACACUGGGGAGUAAGUAGCUGUCUCUACCACAGAGCUUUAGAUGAGGGGUUGCCGGAAGACUUCCUGAAAGAAGAGGCAGGAUUUGGCAGGGUUUUAGAAGCCAGUCAAGGUAAGAGGCCACAAGCAAACUAAGAAGGACGGCUUCCAGCUUCCAGCUGAAGUCUUCCAUCAUUCCCGGGGGGCGUUGCCACGGGGACGGGAUGACAGAAACUCCUCCUCUCCAAACGCCCUCGCCAGGGCAGAAGUCAAAGACUGGAAAAACUUUUCUUGGAAAUCUCUGCCAACGAAGACGUAGAGGAACGGGUUGAGGCAGUUGUUGACACAGCCCAAGGCAAAGCUAGCCUGGAGGAUGAGCAGCAUCUGGGGGUGGUAGAAUUCCUUGAGCAUCACCCGUCGCCACAGAUGGACCAACAGCAUCACGUUAAAUGGGAACCAGCAGAUAAAGCGCUCACCAGCACCAGCAGCAGCCUCUUGGGCCGGUUGGCAUGGACCCAGCCCUCCCGCAAGAGCUUGGCCCGGAUGAGGUGGGCGCAGGUGCCUAUGAUUGCUAAGGGCCCCAGGAAGCCCAGCAGGAAGUGGGCCAUGAUCACCGCCAUUUGUCUCCCAAAGACCUCCUGAGUCCACAUCUGGGCAGUCUCAUUCUCCAAGUUGAACUAUCUUUCUCUGUUUCCCAUAUUUGCUGAGGAGAAGCCACAAGCUCAAGCGGCUCCUACUGUUGUCCCAGGGAUGCUAGACAGCUGGUCUUCAAUUUGAUCCUGAGUGCAAGUCCCACCUCCAGAGUCUAGUCCCACCUCCUACUUCAUCAGGCAAUGGGGGAGAGAGAAAGGGGAUUUACUGCUUAACGGUUACAGAGUUACCGUUUGGGGGGGAUGAAAAAGUUUUUAAAUAGAUUGUGGUGAUGGUUACACAACGUUAUGAAUGUAAUUAAUGCCGCUGAAUUAUACAUUUAAAAACGGUUCAAUGGAAAUUUUAUGCCACACAUUAACAUAAUGUUAAAAAUGAAUAACGCAAUAUACCAACAACCGUUGAAUUUUA